CCCUUAGACGUUCUGGGCCGCACGCGUGCUACACUGAGUGGAUCAGCGGGUCAGGUUACGCGAGAGCGUUUCCUAAUCUUCAAAUCCGCUCGUGAUGGGGAUUGACGGUUGCAAUUUUCCGUCAUGAACGAGGAAUACCUUGUAAGCGCGGGUCAUCAUCCCGCGCUGAAUACGUCCCUGCCCUUUGUACACACCGCCCGUCGCUCCUACCGAUUGAGUGGUCCGGUGAGGCUUUGGGAUCUAAGCGAAAAGAGCGUUUCGCUCCUUUUGCUGGGAGAACUCAGUCGAACCUUAUCAUUUAGAGGAAGGAGAAGUCGUAACA
rnacentral:rRNA from 1 species